GGUCAGGUUGGGAAACCUGGUGAGUACAUAGGGUUUUCAACCCACAAUAAUAUAAUUAACUUGUUUCUUCACAUAAUACAUGUCAAACAAUUAACCGGAUUACCAUCCUCAUUUUCUUCAUUUGAUAUUCCCUAAAGUAUGACCUUAAGGUUCAUCUCCUAUAUCGUAUGUAUCUCUCAUCUCUUUGCAUCUCAUUUCCUUAUAUGUUCGUUCCUAAGGACUUUUCCUACUGAUCAUCGCCUACAUCACACAGACAAUAAUGGUUUGGGGAUUACUCCCUCAAUACGCACCUAGUAAGGGUUGGAGUAUCAUCGCAUGAAUACGUAGUUACAACAUCGCCUGAACUCGUAAUUCAUAGUAAGGGUUAGAGUAUCAUCACAUGAAUAUGUAGUUACAACAUCGCCUGAACUCGUAAUUCAUAGUAAGGGUUAGAGUAUCAUCACAUGAAUAUGUAGUUACAACAUCGCCUGAAAUCGUAAUUCAUCACCUACAGGUUGUGAGUCUGCUGGUGUUUCCACGGGUUUGUUUAUAAUAGUCCGUGGUCGCCAUCUAUACUCUGUUAGAUGACUACAUCUGCAAAUUACCGGACAAGGUUAUAGUAUAUUUCAUCCUACAUCACCGAUUCAUCAUCACCUUUCCAUCACCUAAUUAUCAUCACCUUCCUAUCAUCACGAAUCUCUCAUCAUUUUAUUUCAUCACACACCAACUAUUUCAUCUACCCAUGUUUUAUCCCAACAUAUUUGUAGAUAUAAACUAAAUAUAUAUUUAAAUCAUUUAAAACAUGUAUAAAAUCAUUCAUCCAUCAUAGACAGCAAGUAUUCAGAUAAUAUGCACACAUAACACGUAAUUUAUAUAAAAUACUUCAUAUCUAUGUGUAAAAUGAAAGUGACCAUGCACCCACUUGAUAAGGUGGUGACUCGGUACUCGAACAGCGCUUCGUUUACUUUAAAAUAAUUUCCUUUGACGAAACAGGCGGAUUUUAGCUAGGAGUCAGGCUCUGCAGGGGCAGAACUUCGUCGCUUGUGACAUCCCCAUUUUCACGGCCAGAAAAGACCGAUUUUGUUUAUGCUUUAUAAAAAUCAGAGUACCUUUUUUAAUAAAAAUGUUGCGGAAAUUGUUCCCAGUAAAAUAUGAUAAAUACGUUAUCAAAGCACUUCCAAAGAAAAGUUUUUUUAUUAAUUUUAAAACAUUUGGGAUGUUAUCGUCAAUACAAAAACAUAAGCAUAAACAGAACUUACAUUCAUUAUCACUAGUGAUUUAUAUCUCCUUAAUCUCUCAGUGUAAUGUGACUUCAUAUCAACACCUGUGAUAUAAAUAAACUGAGGGGGUCAGGUUGGGAAACCUGGUGAGUACAUAAGGAUUUCAAUCCCACAAUGUUAUACCAUAUAUAUAGUUUAAAACUCACAAAAUAUACAAUUUCACCAUAUAUAUAAACAACUCUUAUCCUGCCCCGUUGAUCCUUACAACGAGACUAUCCAUACUCUCGGACCUUAAAUUUUACCUCUUACUUAACCCAUAAUCUCGGAUCUAAUUCCUGCUCUCUGAUUAAUAAUUGUGCCCAUUCCAUACUCUCAGAUUAGGGACAAGUAUCUAUGUGUAAAUCCAUUCUCCCGGAUUAACGACGAAUGACUAUGUCCUAUCCAUACUCCCGGACUGAGGACGACUGACUAUAUCUUAACCCAUACUCUCGGACUAAGGACAAUUGACUAUGUCUUAAUCCAUGCUCCCGGAUUAAUGACAGUUGACUAUGUCCAAUCCAUACUCUCGGACUAGGGACAAUGACUGUGUCUAAUCCAUGCUCCCGGAUCA
rnacentral:lncRNA from 1 species